UGGGGAAUAUUGCACAAUGGGGGAAACCCUGAUGCAGCGACGCCGCGUGAGCGAAGAAGGCUUUCGAGUCGUAAAGCUCUGUCCUAUGAGAAGAUAAUGACGGUAUCAUAGGAGGAAGCCCUGGCUAAAUACGUGCCAGCAGCCGCGGUAAUACGUAUGGGGCGAGCGUUGUCCGGAAUUAUUGGGCGUAAAGGGUACGUAGGCGGUUUUUUAAGUCAGGUGUCAAAGCGUGGAGCUUAACUCCAUUAAGCACUUGAAACUGAAAGACUUGAGUGAAGGAGAGGAAAGUGGAAUUCCUAGUGUAGCGGUGAAAUGCGUAGAUAUUAGGAGGAAUACCGGUGGCGAAGGCGACUUUCUGGACUUUUACUGACGAUCAGGUACGAAAGCGUGGGGAGCAAACAGG
rnacentral:rRNA from 1 species